AGAAACGUGAGUUUUGGCGUUUUCGAUCCAUUUUCUUCUGAUUUUUAUAUCUUCCAAUCCUUAAUCCAAAUCAACAAUUUCUCUUCACGAACAUUGUAGAUCUCAUAUUCUAUUUCUACAAUAUAUUUUUCUUGUAUUUUUUUGGGAAUCACAGAAUAAGUUUAAGUCGUCC